UGUUCUUAUCAGUGUAAUUACUGGUAUUAAUCAAUUAAUUACUCUCAUCUUUGAAAUGCCCUCCUCCUUUCCCCUGGCUUGCCAGAUUGGAGCAGACGAUGGCCGUGGGCUCUCACUAUUCCCUCGUGCUGUCA
rnacentral:snRNA from 24 species